GUCCCUGUCGAUUAGUGGUUAAAUCAUCACGUUGUGGUUACCGGACUUUUCCGCACUACAAAUCCGUGAAGCCAGCGGCUCGAAUCCGCUCAGGGACA